rnacentral:rRNA from 1 species
UACGGGGGGAGCAAGCGUUGUUCGGAUUUACUGGGCGUAAAGGGCGCGUAGGCGGUCAGUUCAAGUCAGUUGUGAAAUCUCCGGGCUUAACUCGGAAAGGUCAACUGAUACUGUGCGACUAGAGUGCGGAAGGGGCAACUGGAAUUCUCGGUGUAGCGGUGAAAUGCGUAGAUAUCGAGAGGAACACCUGCGGCGAAGGCGGGUUGCUGGGCCGACACUGACGCUGAUGCGCGAAAGCCAGGGGAGCGAACGGG